rnacentral:rRNA from 1 species
AGCGAACGCUGGCGGCAGGCUUAACACAUGCCAGUCGAGCGGGCCCUUCGGGGUCAGCGGCAGACGGGUGAGUAACGCGUGGGAACGUGCCCUUCGGUUCGGAAUAACUCAGGGAAACUUGAGCUAAUACCGGAUACGCCCUUAUGGGGAAUGGUUUACUGCCGAAGGAUCGGCCCGCGUCUGAUUAGCUAGUUGGUGAGGUUAUGGCUCACCAAGGCGACGAUCAGUAGCUGGUCUGAGAGGAUGAUCAGCCACACUGGGACUGAGACACGGCCCAGACUCCUACGGGAGGCAGCAGUGGGGAAUAUUGGACAAUGGGGGCAACCCUGAUCCAGCCAUGCCGGGUGAGUGAUGACGGCCUUAGGGUUGUAAAGCUCUUUUCUCCGGGACGAUAAUGACGGUACCGGAGGAAUAAGCCCCGGCUAACUUCGUG